UGCGUAGGUGGCGCCAUAAGUCAGGUGUGAAAUCUCGGGGCUUAACUCCGAAACUGCAUUUGAUACUGUGGUGCUUGAGGACUGGAGAGGAGACUGGAAUUCACGGUGUAGCAGUGAAAUGCGUAGAUAUCGUGAGGAAGACCAGUGGCGAAGGCGGGUCUCUGGACAGUUCCUGACACUGAGGCACGGAAGGCCAGGGGAGCAAACG
rnacentral:rRNA from 1 species